CGGAGUGUAGCGCAGCCUGGUAGCGCGCCUGCUUUGGGAGCAGGAUGUCGGGAGUUCGAAUCUCUCCACUCCGACCA
rnacentral:tRNA from 1 species